ensembl:lncRNA AC097575.2
CUCGAUUUGCAUAAGAGUCCCCAGCAUCCCAAGCGGCUGCCGCGUUGUCUGGAAACCACGGACGUUCGGGCGCUAGAUAGCCCACGGGCAGGAGCCUGUCCACGCAGUACUGGCAAAAGCAGAUCUCUGUGAGUGCAAGUCUACAACGUGACCUUCAGUGGUCUGGAUGUUCCGGAAAGAGUCUGAGGAGCACCUGCGCACAGCAGCCAGAUGGCCUGAAUCACCAGGCGGGGACACACCCACAGCCCGCAGCCUCCCGUCCGGGCUCAUCCAAUGCCUGUUGAACCGUCCCCGGGGGCCACUGUGGAUGAUGGCAUUCACCAGUACCUGCAGAGGGAUUUUUACCAGUGAGCAGGGGGCUUCCCGGGAACUAUCUCCACAAGUUUAAGGACACAUCAAGACACAUCACACACCAGUCUGGGGCAAUCAGCCAUCCCUGCCUUCUCCAAGCUCAGGAACCCUGAAGUAAGAAGAUUCUUCAGGGGGUUUUAAAGUCCCAGUCGCGGGGCUGGAGAGAGGGCUCAGC